rnacentral:rRNA from 1 species
CACGGACCAAGGAGUUUAGCGUGUACGCAAGUCAUUGGGUGAAUAAAACCCAAAGGCGAAAUGAAAGUAAAGAGUGGAAAAUUUGUAAUUUAUUAUAAAUUUUCCCUUGAGGGAAGAUGGAGUUUCUUUUUUGUUUUAUUUUAAAAAUUUAUUUUUGAAUUGACAAGAAAAGAUCUCUCGCAUUCCCAGGGCGCUUGUUUCUCGCUUUGCGAGUCGAUGCGCACCUAGAGCGUACACGCUGAUACCCGAAAGAUGGUGAACUAUGCCUGGCCAGGACGAAGCCAGGGGAAACCCUGGUGGAGGUCCGCAGCGAUUCUGACGUGCAAAUCGAUCGUCGGAGCUGGGUAUAGGGGCGAAAGACCAAUCGAACCAUCUAGUAGCUGGUUCCCUCUGAAGUUUCCCUCAGGAUAGCUUGCGCUCAGUUGAGACGAGUCUCAUCCGGUAGAGCGAAUGAUUAGAGGCAUUGGGGUCGAAACGACCUCAACCUAUUCUCAAACUCCAAAUAGAUGAGACCCCCGGCUUUCUUGAAAAAGAAUGAAGCCGUGGGAUUAGGAUCAGAGUGCCAAGUGGGCCAAUUUUGGUAAGCACAACUG